ACGCAUGCACGCACGCACACACACACACACACACGGAGCUACCUGCCCUCUGGUUGUGAUUUGUAAGACUUGCAAGCAACACAGAAGCUCCAGCAAUUUCCUUUCCUCUUCGGACUGAGCCACAAGAAAGGCAAAGCUGCACCGAGGAGGUCUCCAGCUCUGUCUCUGAAGAUGACAUGAUGGUCUUAUCAAGUAGUGGCCUUAUCAAGGGGAAGCAUCUCCUGACUGGCUCUGCUCUGUGACUGUCUGCUUGUGACUGACAGCUGGGCUGGAGUGUUCAGACACAGAGAAAGCUGUGGAGUUGAUGUGCCUUGUUCCUAAACGCUGUAAUGACAUGAUGAACCUGGGCCGUCUUCAGGGCUUUGAGGGCAAGCUGGCAGCCCAAGGAAAGUUGCUGCAGCAGGAUACGUUCUAUGUAACGGAACAGGAUUCUGAAGUUCUCUCUCGGCCGAAGUAACACAGAGUUUUCCUCUUUGAGCAAAUAGUCAUCUUUAGUGAGCUUCCUAGGAAAGGCUCUCCGACACCUGGGUACCUGUUUAAGAGAAGCAUACAGUUGCAUUGGGCCAGUGGCCACUUCUUUCCCUUCAAGAUCCAUUCCUUUGGACUUCUCCUGUGCUCAUCCUUCUUCUCACCCACAUUUAUUUAUUUAUGUAUUGGCUAUUGUAAAUUAUAAAUUGUAUUGUUUUUAUUGAGGUAUUUUGAUGUAUUGAUGUAUUUUAUUGAUGUAUUUUUAUAUUUGUGUUUUUUGUAAGCCGCCUUGAGGGCCUUUUGGCCAAAAGGCAGGAUAGAAAUAAACAACAACAACAACAAUAAUAUCCCCUAUGCUGAGCCGGGGAUAUUGGCAUUUCCAGAAGCCCCUUCCACACCAGCCAUGGAGCCAUGUCUUGGAGGCCACCAUCUUUUGCAACUUGUCUCCAGAUAAAUGUUUCUGGUAUCUCUGAUGGAGCCAUAUGGACUCCAGCACACCACUUUCAGAGGACUGCCUCUUUCUUAACAUCUGGAUGCCAUGUCCAUGACCCUCUGUCCUCCUGCCCUUGUUUGGAUCCAUGGUGGAGGAUUUUUGUCUGGUGCAGGCUCCCUGGAGGUGUCCCAUGGAGCAUUCUUAGCUGCUACAGAGAAUAAUAAUAAUAAUAAUAAAAUUUUAUUUUUAGGCCGCCUAUCUGGCCGAAUGAAUGGCCACUCUAGGCGGCGUACAUAAUUAAAAAUACAACAUACAAUACAGUUUUAACAUAUAAUAUAAUUAUAAUCCACCAACUUACAUCUAUACACUGUAAGCUAAAACUAUCUAGGAGACCUGUAUGCCCGCUGAAACAACCAAGUUUUUAAUCCUUGGCGGAAACCUACCAGGGAGGGGGCAUGGUGAAGGUCGUAUGGCAGAGAAUUCCAGAGGGUGGGGGCCACAACUGAGAAUGCCCUCUCUCUGGUCCGCACCAGCCUAGCUGUCUUAACUGGUGGGACCGAGAGAAUGUCAUUGUGGCCUCCAUUAAUUACUGCUUAGGGAUCUGGGGCUUUCUGUACUUCCCAGCAGAUGCCCCAGGAGACAUUGGGUUGUGGAAUCAGCAGCUGGCUCUGAAGUGGGUGAAGGAAAAUGCUGAUCUCUUUGGUGGGGAUCCAGCUCAGCUGACUCUCCUUGGCCAAAGUGCUAGAGCAGCCUCAGUGGAUUUGCAUCUCCUCUCACCAGCAAGUCAUUCACUUGCCCACCAGUAUGAUUUUCUGACAACUCAUGUUUUUGGGUCCUUUGGGUAAAAGAGAAUGUAUAAAUAUUUGCAGUUAAGUGGAUUAUGAUUGACACCUGACCUAGUCCAGGGAUGGGAAAACAUAUGGCCCUCCAGAUCUUGGGCUCCAAUCCCAUCAUUCCUGAUCAUUAACCAUGCUGGCUGGAGCUGAUGGGAGAUGGAGUCCAACAACAUCUGGAUGGCCACAGAUUCCCAUUCCUGUCCUGGAGUUUAGAUCAAAAUUAGCAGUGAGGAGGGAUAUCAUCAAAAUGUGGCAUCUGUUCUGUCAGCCUAGAGAGUUCUGGGUUCAACAUUCCCAGUAUUUUAAGUGCCUGUGUGAAAAAAGGAAGCACUGCUAAAUAAGGACCAUCUGUACACUUGACUGGUAUAACAAUUUUUCUUGGUGGAUGUAAAGCUUUGGCUUCAUAACCUCGGGAGCUGAGGCCCAUUUCACAGAUUACAAGGCAGCCAAUUUAGGUCCAGACCAAUUGUAAACUUCACAGGCAGUCACAGCUAAUCCUUGAAGAGUGUAGCUAUGUGAUACAUGUGUUUGCAAAUACGUUUGCUGCUAUUACUGUUUAUCUGUGAAUGUAAAACAUCCUAGGUGUGUACAUUUUAAAAAAAUGUAGUUUCUAAAAACAUCCUGAUUCUCCAGAAGUCAGUACCAUUAUUUGUUGUAAACUGUCCAGAGAGCUUCGGCUAUGGGGCAGUAUACAAAUGCAAUAAAUAAAUAAAUAAAUAAAUAAACAAAUAAUUCCACAA